CAUCAAAGAAACAAGAAGUCUGAGGAAUUUCAUACACACACCCCUUUUCCUGCCUCUCAGACUGAGUUCAGGGACCUUCAUUUUGUUUUCCUUCAUGAUUUCUAUUCCCUGACGUGUUCUCAGCUCUCAGAAGCUUUUUUGCAAAAGGCUCUUCUGUGACAUUGGUUUGCCUCCAUGGAGAGAUAUCUAUGUUCCCUCUGUCUGAACAGUGACUGACUUCGUAACUAUCUUAUCCAAUGGAAUACGGCAGAAAGGACACAAUGGGAAAUCUAAGAAAAGAUAUCCCCUGUAGGACCACCUCUUGACAUUGUAACACUGUGGUUUAAUAUCAGAACAACUUCUAAAGAAAAGGCCUCAUAGUUUAAGGUUACAAUUUGAACAGCACAUUUUUUCUUAAAUUACAUUGAAAAAGAAAAUGAACCGUUUUGGAAAGCUGUAUCCUGUACCUGGUUAUGAAACUCAAUAUCUGAAAAGAUGUGAGUACACAUUUGAAAA